rnacentral:rRNA from 1 species
AUACAGAGGGUGCGAGCGUUAAUCGGAAUUACUGGGCGUAAAGCGCGCGUAGGCGGUUUGAUAAGUCGGAUGUGAAAGCCCUGAGCUUAACUUGGGAACUGCAUUCGAAACUGUCUGACUAGAGUAUGGUAGAGGGUAGUGGAAUUCCGGGUGUAGCGGUGAAAUGCGUAGAUAUCUGGAGGAACAUCAGUGGCGAAGGCGACUUACUGGACCAAUACUGACGCUGAGGUGCGAAAGCGUGGGGAGCAAACAGGAUUAGAUACCCCAGUAGUCC